AUGACUGGAGCGUCUGGCUCGCGGAGAUCAACAUGGCAGUUUUCCUGUGCACCCGCAUAAAACCGUCCGCCUACUCAGAUGUGGCUGAGGGAGUGGACUGCUGCUGGUCAUCUCUAUCAGAGCUAUUCUACUCUUCAUAUGUGAAGGAGUUUGGGUAUAAAAAGAACAAAAGGCAACAUUUGAAGACAUCUCAGAAACCAUUCAAAAGGAAAAACCUUGAUGAUUAGUCAGUAAUUUUGGAGGGAAAAAGUGAAAGGAAUGUUGAUGGACACCACUCUCCUCCCCUGGUGACAACUCUUGAUGCAUCCCUACUGUGACAAGGUUAGUCCCUCUCCAGAUUUUCCAUAUCUAAACUGUGAUGAAACCAUACUCCUUAAAAAACAUAUCUUGAAGGUUCCAGAAAAAGGAAACUGAAAACAGAGAAUAACUUCCAACAGCCAAGAGCAGUAGAUCUUUAGAGCUAACAAGCCCAAACCCAAAAUAUGAAGCCCUGCCUAAUUACCAGCAGUCCAUCACGUGGCAGGGAGGCAGCUCAAAAGGAAACAGGUAACUCCAGGUAUCUCCUUAUCUUGGAGUUCAGGUUCCAUGCCCCCCAGCUUAAAAAAAGGAGUCCUUCAAAUUCUCUCAAGCCUAAGCUGGGCUUUAUUUUCCUGCCUGGAAUUUUCCUCUUCCCAGAUGUGGGGUGGUAGGAAUCCUGUAGUCUAGCCACUCAAAGAUUGAUCUGGGCUUCAUAGCUUGAACAAGAUAAUCACAAUCGUAGGCAGUAUAUUUUCCAAAGUCUGGCUUACACAGUCUUAUAAUUACCUCAUUGUAAGAAAAAACUGUGCUUUAGAGGGAAACUAUGCAUUGUCCAGCAUAGAGGACACCCAUCUUUCUGGGUUAUCUGAUUCUAUGGGAGCUAUUUUACAAUGCUGUAAAUUAUUGAUUAUUGAUAUCAAUGCAAAAUGCUUGUUUAUAGACAUCAGAUUGUUUCCUAUCCAGUAGAGGGAUAGAGGUUCAAUUGACUUCUCUCUCCUACUGUGAAAAAAGGCUCGUUUUGUCUCAAUUUGCAUAUUCAUUUCCCUAUUUCUCAUCUAUAACUGUGUUUGUUCUUUGUAUUCUCCUUUGAACUGGCUGAUACCUCAGCGUUUUCCUUAUUAAUGAGUUAAAUAAAAUCUUGAACACGUGUUCAUAUGUGUUAUAUAGGAGAGUCAUGAUUUUACCAUUAAAAAAAUUAUCUUUAACACCAUGUAUGAGACCCUAAAGUAUGGUUAGUUUUUGCUACAUCAAGUUUAGUUUAGUUCUUCAUUACAUUUUACCAUCAGCAUAAGGAAAAGAGAUGAUCAAGCAUGUGCCCAACCCCACCAUAAUAUUUGUUUUUGUUUGUUUGUUUGUUUGUUUUUGUUUUUGUUUUUUGUUUUUGAGAUGGAGUCUCGCUUUGUCACCCAGGCUGGAGUGCAGUGGUACGAUCUUGGCUCACUGCAACCUCCACCUCCUGGGUUCAAGCAAUUCUCCUGCCUCACCCUCCUGAGUAGCUGAAAUUACAGGUGUGCACCACCACACCUGACUAAUUUUUUGUAUUUUUAGUAGAGACGGGGUUUCACCAUGUUGGCCAGGCUGAUCUUGAACUCCUGACCUCAAGUGAUCCACCCGCCUCGGCCUCCCAAAGUGCUGCGAUUACAUAUAGAUGUGAGCCACUGUGCCCAGCCCCACCAUAAUAUUUGUAUACACACAAAAUACACAUUCAUGUACACACAGUUCUCCAAAAUAAGCAUAGAACAGUCUAAAAUCCACAUGUAAGAAGAAAAAACUCUCUAAUGCAAUAAAGGCACAGUUCUGGUGAUCCAUCAAGCAGAACAUAUGCUAUUUCAGCUUGAAGGGUCUGCACUGAGUUACUUCCUCAUAUCCAGGAAUUCUUCAAGAAUGUAGAGUUUUCAUCUGUAUCAGGGUUUCUCGGCCCCAGCACAAUUAACAUUUUGGAUCAGAUAAUUCUUUGUUGUAGGAGUCGUCCUGUGCAUUGUAGGAUGUUUAGCAGCAUGUCUGGCCUCACUCCAGACAUUGCCACAUGUCACUGGGGUCAAAAGUAACCACCAGUUGAGAACCACUGAUCUAUUUUAUUAAAGGUUCCCCAAGAUAGCUCCUUUCAGAGUAAAGGGAGGAUCUCCCUAAGGAUAAGUGAAUUUAUUUAACCAAUACAUAUCAGCAUGGAUGGGUCUCAGUGAUAAUGUCGAGUGAACACAGCUAAAUUACAGAAUGCUUUCUGCAGCAUGAUACUAUUUGUAUAAAUCUUAAAAUCACAAAAACUUGUAUGUUGCUUAUAGAAAUAUAUAUAUGAAAUAAAAUCAUAAAACCAUCAACAUGGAGAAUACAUAUCAAUUUAAUGAGUAUGGCUGCCUCUGAGAAAAGAGGGAAGGAAUUAGAUUAAGAUUACAAAACAAUAUUCAACUGUGUUUAUAAUGUUUUGCUUUUUUAAGAGAUCUAAAACAAAUACUACCCAAUGUUGUCAUUUUUUCAUUCCAGCAAAUGCAUAUAUGAAUAUUAUGCUACUCUACAAACUUUACUGUAAAUUUGAAAGAAAUCCAUAAUAAGAUAUGAAAAAUGCAGCUUAAAUUUCAAAUAAUGUUCUUCAAAGCCGUUGUCAUUAAUUUUCCAAUCAUCUUUUGCUUUAUAUUAUUCAUACUGCUGCUUGCCUCCAUGAUUAUAGGUAGCUGUGAGCUGGCAGUGUUUUAUAGAGCAAUUUCCUGGCUCCGACUCUAAUGACAGCCAUAAUAUUAAUGCUCUCACCCUGUAUUUGUGGAGUGCUUUAUCUUUUCCCAGUACUCUUACAUCUGUCUUCUCUUUUUAUAUUCACAAUUUCUCUCACCAUCAGUCUUCGUCUCAACUGUAUUUGCCAUGUAUUAAUAAAAGUAUUAAAAAGCCUUCUACGAAUGCUUUUUCUUUGGCAGCUACCUGAGUUCAGGUUUCCCUAGAUACCAACCCUGAAAGAUUGGAUUCUAGUGCAAGCAGUUUAUUUAGGAGGUGAUCCUACAGAGCUCUGGUAGGGGAAAUGUGACAAGGAAGAGAAGAAAGCUAAUAAACAGCACAUCUUAGAGCAGGUUACAGUUGAGGGCAAUUGAAGCUCAGUCCUGCCCAUUUGUUUACACAUUAUCUGUGUAGUUUUCAUGUUAUGGCAGAACUGAGUAGUGGUGACAGAGGCCUGAAAAGCCAAAAAUAUUUACUAUAUGGCCCUUUACAAGAAAAGUUUCUUGACCUCUUCUUUAUACCAUAAAACUAGAAGAAAAGUUAUUAUUUUCAAGCAUUUUGAGAGCUUCCAGUAUGAGCACAUGUGUAAGAAGGAAAAUGUCAAUUAUUACUCAUAAAAAUUCCAUUUUUAUGAAGUGUGUUAGGGGAAAAAUUGAGUUAAGAAGAAAAACCUUUUUCCAUAAAAACAAACAUUGGCAAUUUGCCCUAAAAAAUAUAUAUAUAAAGGUUCAAGAAGAAAUUUGAGGCGGUUACAUCUCUACUGUGGAAUGAAUUGUAAACUCCUAGUGUAGACAUAGAAAAUAGUAAUCAUUUAUUGUGCCAAACUCCAACUAAUUAAAAAUUACGGUGAUAAAGAUCUAAGACUAUGUUCAGGCUUAGUGAAAGAGAGGGCCAUAAUUGGUAAGCAGUGUCUGAAGUGAGCACAGGAAGGAAUAGUGGUGGCCAAUGUUGAAUGCAAAAAAUAAGCACAGCUACCUGCCAUGAGAUGGGAGGAGAAAAAACCAAGAGAGGAAAGGGGACACUUAGGCUUCCUGCGAUCUCAGAAACCUAACAAGGGCUGAUAAAAGGCUGUUUAUACACCAAGCAGGAAAAAACCCUAUUAUUAACAUCUUGCAUUAGUGUGGUACAUCUGUUACAAUUAAUGAACCAAUAUUGUACAUUAUUAUUAAAUAAAAUCUGUAGUUUACCUUAAGUUUCACUCUUUGUGUUGUACAGUUCUAUGGGUUUUGAUAAAUGCAUAACAUCAUAUAUCCAUCAUUAUAGUAUUAUAUGGAAUAGUUUCACCACACUAAAAUUUUCCUGUACUUCACCUAUUUAUAGCUUUCCUUCCACCCACCCCCAUCCCAAUCCCCUGGCAACCACUGAACUUUUGACUGUCUCCAUAAUUUUGCCUAUUCCAGAAUGUCAUAUAGUUGGAAUCAUACAGUAGGUAGCCUUUUCAGACUGGCUUUUUUUUCACUUAGGAAUAUGCUUUUAAGUUUCCUUUGUGUCUUCUUACAUCUUGGUAGCUCUUUUUUUUUUCAUCACUGAAUAAUUAUCCAUUGUAUGGAUGUACUAAAUUUUGUUUAUUCACCUAUUGAAAGACAUCUUGUUGUUUCCAGUUUUGGGCAGUUAAAACUAUCUAUUUCUUUUUGUGUGUAUUUUGGUAGCUUAUAUCUUU
rnacentral:lncRNA from 10 species